GACGAACGCUGGCGGCGUGCUUAACACAUGCAAGUCGAACGGAAAGGCCCUGCUUUUGUGGGGUGCUCGAGUGGCGAACGGGUGAGUAACACGUGAGUAACCUGCCCCUGACUUUGGGAUAACUUCAGGAAACUGGGGCUAAUACCGGAGAGGAGCUCCUGCUGCAUGGUGGGGGUUGGAAAGUUUCGGCGGUUGGGGAUGGUCUCGCGGCUUAUCAGCUCGUUGGGGGGGUAGUGGCUUCCCAAGGCUUUGACGGGUAGGCGGCCUGGGAGGGUGACCGGCCACCUGACGCCUACGGUACGCCCCAGUAUGCAACGGGCGGCAGUGGUGGAGAAUCUUACACAGCAGGCCCGCGCCUGUUACGGCGACGCUCCGUGCGGAAUGCCGGCCUUUGGGUUGUAAACCACUUUCUCCUGUGCCGAGGCGUGAGUGACGGUAAUGGGUCAAGAAGCCCCGGCUAACUACGUG
rnacentral:rRNA from 1 species